AACUGCUUCCCAUGGAUGGAUAGAGAGCAUGUCUUUAAAGCGCACCUCACCACACAGGCUCCCGGCACCCCUGGUUGGGAUAAUGCCCCCCUCUGCUCCCACACCUCUGUAGGAAGCUCUAAAGAAGCAGCGCUGCCCCUGCCUAGCGGAGGAGACUGGGACUCCCCACAUCUCUCUGUGUUCCCAGAUUGAGCCGGGCAAGAUCACAUCUGACAUCUGCACAUCUCAGCGCCCAGCCCCUGCCUGGCUCAGAGUGAAGUGUCUUCCAAUCCAUUGAAAUUUCUAGUCCCGGGGUCUCGAGGACACUAGGGCCACUGUGCAAUGGCAGAAGGAGCAUUGCCAUAGAAGUCAGGGGGCCUGGUUACAAGUCCUGACUUUAGUUGAGGACCUGCCAUAUGACCUUGAGCAAACUGCUGUACUUCUCUGGAUCUCAGUUUCUACAACCUAAUUCACUGGGCCCAGCCUGCAGCCUGCAAGCACCGGAUGAGUGGACGUGGCUGAGCAGCCAUGAGAAAGAUGUGGGGCUCUCCGGUGACUGUAGACCCAGCAUAAAUCAACAGUUCAAGGUGCUCAUCCCCAAAGCCAUGGUGAGACCUUAGCUGCUGUAAUAAAAGUGUAGUGCCAAAGUAAGGGCAA